rnacentral:rRNA from 1 species
UGAGGAAUAUUGGUCAAUGGACGCGAGUCUGAACCAGCCAAGUAGCGUGAAGGAUGACUGCCCUAUGGGUUGUAAACUUCUUUUAUAUGGGAAUAAAGUGGUCCACGUGUGGACUUUUGUAUGUACCAUAUGUAUAAGGAUCGGCUAACUCCGUGCCAGCAGCCGCGGUAAUACGGAGGAUCCGAGCGUUAUCCGGAUUUAUUGGGUUUAAAGGGAGCGUAGGCGGAUUGUUAAGUCAGUUGUGAAAGUUUGCGGCUCAACCGUAAAAUUGCAGUUGAUACUGGCAGUCUUGAGUGCAGUAGAGGUGGGCGGAAUUCGUGGUGUAGCGGUGAAAUGCUUAGAUAUCACGAAGAACUCCGAUUGCGAAGGCAGCUCACUGGAGUGUAACUGACGCUGAUGCUCGAAAGUGUGGGUAUCAAACAGGAUUAGAUACCCUGGUAGUCCACACAGUAAACGAUGAAUACUCGCUGUUUGCGAUAUACAGUAAGCGGCCAAGCGAAAGCGUUAAGUAUUCCACCUGGGGAGUACGCCGGCAACGGUGAAACUCAAAGGAAUUGACGGGGGCCCGCACAAGCGGAGGAACAUGUGGUUUAAUUCGAUGAUACGCGAGGAACCUUACCCGGGCUUAAAUUGCAGAUGAAUUACGGUGAAAGCCGUAAGCCGCAAGGCAUCUGUGAAGGUGCUGCAUGGUUGUCGUCAGCUCGUGCCGUGAGGUGUCGGCUUAAGUGCCAUAACGAGCGCAACCCUUGUUGUCAGUUACUAACAGGUUCCGCUGAGGACUCUGACAAGACUGCCAUCGUAAGAUGUGAGGAAGGUGGGGAUGACGUCAAAUCAGCACGGCCCUUACGUCCGGGGCUACACACGUGUUACAAUGGGGGGUACAGAGGGCCGCUACCACGCGAGUGGAUGCCAAUCCCCAAAACCUCUCUCAGUUCGGACUGGAGUCUGCAACCCGACUCCACGAAGCUGGAUUCGCUAGUAAUCGCGCAUCAGCCAUGGCGCGGUGAAUACGUUCCC